AAUCUGAAACUAUGUCCAUGUGGUGGUUCAAGGGUUCCUUAUCUCCCAAUGCAGUGGUCAGCAGCCUGAACCCCUAAUUACUUGCUGGAAGCUUUUUGUUUAGUCCAAAGAAGGUCUUGCUGCCCAUUCAGAAUUGGUUUUUACUGAGCUGUAAUAUUCAGCAUAGCACAUGAAAAAAAUCAACAUUCGAAAAACAUAUUAGACAUUUCUGUAUUGAAUACUUAUAGAGGAACAAUUAGUAAUUACAGUUUCAAGUCUUUGGCUUUGACUUGUUUUGACUUUUGCCCUUCUUCAAGCAUAAUCUCCAAGAGCUGAUCUGAAGAAAAACAUGAAAAUGUAUAAAAACUUCCUAUUUGUAGCAGUAAGAUAAAAAGUCCUGUCAAAGAACAACUUGAAAUUAUCUAUCUUGAAUUUUAGAAGUGCUACAUAAACAUAGAAGCAAGCGGUCUUCCCUC
rnacentral:lncRNA from 1 species